rnacentral:misc_RNA from 1 species
CCUGCAAGUUUGAGAAGUCGCCGUGCCAUUAAGCGGAACCACACUCCGUUCCCUGCGUAACCAUUUUUUUUUGCUUCAUUCGUCUUACUUGUUGCGUGCAGAAUCGAAUGGACCCAUUUUCAGAAGGUCGUGACAGCACUCACUCUGGUUAUCGAACACGCACGCCAUUCUCUUCCACCUCCACCUCUUCCAUAGCGGAAGAGGAGAUCGCGGUUCGCCCUCGCAGACUGUCAGGAAGACGCGUGCGGAGCAGGUAUCGCGGCGGCGACUACGAUAACUCCUCCUCUAUUACAGCGCCUCGCGCCUCUGGCCGUCGCCGUCACUCGCGCGAGAACUUGGCCCUGGAUGAGCGUCACAGCGUCCUCCUGCCAGAUGAUAAAAAUGCAGGGCCCUACCUCGCAAGAGCAGAGAGCCCCACCCGUGAGUGUGCAAUGGAUAUGAUGUCGGGACUUGGCACCGACACGGUAGAGGCAGGGGGCGUGGUGGAGGAACUUCUGGUGUCGACCUGGCCCCAGAGUCGCCGCUUCCUCGAAAGCCGCAUUUUGCAGACUGCUGAUAUGCAGGCAGAGGACAUGAUAAGUGGCGACGGCGGCUCGCAGCACAUCGAAGACGACAGCGUUAGCGUGACUCCGUCCACGUCGGCCCCUUCCCCAGCGCCGCGCUCUGCGGCUGCGACUGGUGCGCCGCCUCUGGCGCCACGGCCUCUGACAGACACCUCCCCACUUCUGUUGCGGCCGCGCAUGCAGGAGACGGAGAUGCCUGCUGACCCGCGCACGAGGUUGCUUGACCUGGUCAUUACGAACACCACCGCUAGCAUAACACUCGCAGAGAUGGAACAGGAGAUGAACUGGAACGCACAGUACGCCGCCACGUACGGGCCGCUGAAAGAAUACCUGCAGUCGUAUCAGUCCAUCUUCGUCGUGUCCCCCGUGGACGACCGCGUGCGCCUACGGCGACUCUUUUCCAUCCGCACAAACGCCCUCGCGCGGGAGGUCCGCCGGUCGACGCCGCACUCGUCAUCGCUGUCCUCACGCCAGCGACACGGGCGCCGCACCGGCCGAGAUGCCGCGCACCGAUCGCAGUCGGCAGCGGAUCGGCGAACCGGCAAGCCGUCCCUCCCCUCUGCAGAAGCUCUUGCGGCACACAUCGGCAGCGUCAGCUACAGCUGCAUCGCAGAGCGUCUAGACCUGGAUGCGCUGGAAACCGUCUAUCACCGCCGCGGUUACAAGACGGAGAUUGCGCACGCUGUGCUGCAUGUGUCCAGUGAGAACUGCUUCGACCUGUUCCUCUUUUCGAACGGCGCCGUUGUGUGGUGGGGCAUGGACCGUAAAAACCACUGGAUGGUGGACGACGACUUCUUAUCCGCCUCAAAUCAUCUGCUCGAGGGAGUCGUACACCGCUACCCGCAAGCUGAAAUCGAUGCCCUCUUCCCUAUCUGGUGCUCGUAUGAGUUGGAUGAGCAGUGCGAGGUCGUUCAGACGCCCUCAACACUGGGGUUUCAGCCGUUGGCGGUCGAACCAGCCCUUGAUCGACUUGCCAAGGUACUUUGCUUUGACCACUAUCUUGUGCCGGCCAGCGAGCCGGCGCGCAGUCUGGUUAUGCUUACCUUUUCCCACUCACUGGGCCGCUCGGCUGGGGUGGACUACUUCGAAUACGUAACGAAGUGGUCACACCGCCAUAUCCUGUCCACCCCAGCCGAGUUUACCGGCCUGCUCGACUACUACUCCACGAAGCGGCGCAUUGCCAGACUCGAGGGCGAGAUUGCCGUGGCCCAACUCGCGAUCCAGUCGGCUCAUGACAUCCCGGAUGUGCUGUGGGAGGCGCCGUGGCUGCAGGGGUACUAUGACCUGGCCGAGCAGCAGAACACGACGGAGUCGCGGCUGUCGUGGUUUAACUCGCGCAGUGACACGCUCCUUGAGCAGCUCAGCCAUAUCAAAGGCCGGCGGUAUCGCCUCUUCAUGCUGGGAUCCGACGUCUUUCUCAUCGUUCUUCUUAUUCUGGAUGUGAUCUUUAUGACGUCCCGAUUGGUCGCCAAGAUGUACUUUUAGGCGGUAAAAGGAGUCCGGAAGGACGGCAAACGGGGUGAUCCGCUUGGUGGUAUUCACACACACGCGCGCGCGCACACACACACGAACAAAAAAAAAAGCAAAGGCCGUGUUCCUCUUAUCGUUGCCUUGUACUCGUUUGCAAGCGCAUGUGCGUCUAUCCGUGCAUAUGGUCUGGCUUCAAGCAGAAAGCACGCCUACAUGCUCAUUCUUGCCAAUGCUCAUGCACUGCUCUGCGCAUGCUCUCGUGACUGGACGUCCCAAGACAUGUAGCGAGUUGUCCGUGUCGGUGCUUUCUUUUUUUUUUUGCUUCGUGCUUCCUCUUCCCACUGACCUCGUGCGUCAGGGCGAGGCAUGGCAUACAGGCCGGGUGUGCAGAGGGUCAUGACCUGAGGCUGAUCAACUUCCUCUUUGAUCUCGCCCUGCAUGCGCCUAGGCCACCUCCUGCUAGCUGCACGACAGACGCCAUCGCCUCCGCGCUGGAGCACGUUCCUGGACGCGGCCCGCCUGGGGAUCCAAGGUGUGCAGCCCACCCAUGUCUCCGUGUGGCGCCGAUCGGGCAGCACGUAUGGUGCAGAAGUGAUGCGGAUGGUCAAGCAGAUCCCGCCACACGCUUGACCGGACGCAACGGCAGGACAGAUCGUCCUAGACGACCAGGAUUCAGCUGCAUUCCUACAAGGGUAGGUGGACAGCUGUGGCCGUGGUAUGCGUGUGCUUGCUGAUUUACUUGUGAUGGUAUUGGACACGUUGACAGAAGAAUCACUCCGCCUGCUGUUCGCCACAUUCUCGUGUGUCUUUGCCACAGCGAAUUUCUUCGCCACGUCCAGCUGACACUCCCUUGCACUGCGCCUGCGUGCUUCCUGUGAGAUGACGGGAGUGCGCGUUUUAGGCGUAACCAUCACCCACCCAUCACAAACCACCACCCUCACAGGAGGAAAACCUAUCACUGUCAUGCCUGUCGGAGACCACAGUCGGCGCUGAGAUGUGC